rnacentral:rRNA from 1 species
UACGGAGGUGGCAAGCGUUGCUCGGAUUUACUGGGUGUAAAGGGCACGUAGGCGGUUCGGUAGGCCCUGCCUGAAAUGCUUCGGCUCAACCGGGGUAUGUGGUGGGGGACUGCCGGACUAGAGGAUGGGAGAGGCGAACGGAAUUCCCGGUGUAAGGGUGAAAUCUGUAGAGAUCGGGAGGAACACCAGUGGCGAAAGCGGUUCGCUGGACCAUAACUGACGCUGAGGUGCGAAAGCUAGGGGAGCAAACA